UUGUUCGGAAUUACUGGGCGUAAAGCGCACGUAGGCGGACUAUUACGUCAGGGGUGAAAUCCCGGGGCUCAACCCCGGAACUGCCUUUGAUACUGGUAGUCUCGAGUCCGGAAGAGGUGAGUGGAAUUCCGAGUGUAGAGGUGAAAUUCGUAGAUAUUCGGAGGAACACCAGUGGCGAAGGCGGCUCACUGGUCCGGUACUGACGCUGAGGUGCGAAAGCGUGGGGAGCAAACAGG
rnacentral:rRNA from 1 species